CUGAACAUCAGUUCCAACAGUUCACGUCUGUCAACAUGGAAAAACUAGCUGUGAUUCUGGUCUGUUCAGCUCUCGUAGGUCACAGCUUGGAAGAUGAUAUUACUGCCAUCAGAGCUGAAGUGUUUUCAUCAGAGGGCAGUAGUGUUACUCUGUCCUGUAACUAUUCAGUUAUAGCUGAUAAUCUCCAGUGGUAUCGACAGGAUCCUGGAUCAGCUCCUCAGUUCCUUCUAUUGAUCACUGAUACAAAAGAUCCCAAUGUGGUGACAGCAACACCUCCACACCCUGGACUGACUGCUAAACUGAACCAGGAGAGAAAUGGAGUCGACCUGGAGAUCUCCUCUGCUGCAGUGUCUGACUCUGCUGUGUACUACUGUGCUCUGAGGCCCACAGUGACAGGAAACACCAAAACUCUGAACAAAAACCUUUGGAGCAAUGACAACACAAUACUCCACAACAUCCACUAGAGGGAGCCAUGCAGCAGUAAAACCAGUCUGAGCUCUAAAGACCAC